AGCGAACGCUGGCGGCAAGCUUAACACAUGCAAGUCGAACGAUGUAGCAAUACAUAGUGGCGGACGGGUGCAUAACACGUGGGUAUCUGCCUUUAGGUACGGAAUAACUCAGGGAAACUUGAGCUAAUACCGUAUAAUAUCUCUGGAUCAAAGAUUUAUCGCCUAAAGAUGAGCCCGCGGCAGAUUAGCUAGUUGGUGGGGUAAUGGCCUACCAAGGCGACGAUCUGUAGCUGGUCUUAGAGGAUGAUCAGCCACACUGGGAGUGAGACACGGCCCAGACCCCUACGGGAGGCAGCAGUGGGGAAUAUUGGACAAUGGGGGCAACCCUGAUCCAGCUAUGCCGCGUGAGUGAUGAAGGCCUUAGGGUUGUAAAGCUCUUUUAGAUGGGAAGAUAAUGACGGUACCAUCAGAAAAAGCCCCGGCUAACUUCGUGCCAGCCGCCGCGGUAA
rnacentral:rRNA from 1 species